AUGAACGCUAGCGGCAGGCUUAAUACAUGCAAGGCGAGGGGGCAGCAAUGUCACCGUCGUACGGGUGCGUAACGCGUAUGCAACCUACCUAUCACUGGGGGAUAGCCCGGGGAAACCCGGAUUAAUACCGCAUAAUACAGGGGGCCCACAUGGGUCUAUUUGUUAAAGAUUUAUCGGUGGUAGAUGGGCAUGCGUUCGAU
rnacentral:rRNA from 1 species